AGUGAACGCUGGCGGUAGGCCUAACACAUGCAAGUCGAACGGCAGCACAGUAAGAGCUUGCUCUUACGGGUGGCGAGUGGCGGACGGGUGAGGAAUACAUCGGAAUCUACUUUUUCGUGGGGGAUAACGUAGGGAAACUUACGCUAAUACCGCAUACGACCUACGGGUGAAAGCAGGGGAUCUUCGGACCUUGCGCGAUUGAAUGAGCCGACGUCGGAUUAGCUAGUUGGCGGGGUAAAGGCCCACCAAGGCGACGAUCCGUAGCUGGUCUGAGAGGAUGAUCAGCCACACUGGAACUGAGACACGGUCCAGACUCCUACGGGAGGCAGCAGUGGGGAAUAUUGGACAAUGGGCGCAAGCCUGAUCCAGCCAUACCGCGAGGGUGAAGAAGGCCUUCGGGUUGUAAAGCCCUUUUGUUGGGAAAGAAAAGCAGCAGGUUAAUACCCCGCUGUUCUGACGGUACCCAAAGAAUAAGCACCGGCUAACUUCGUG
rnacentral:rRNA from 1 species